UUCGCUCUAGGUACUAUGAUGUUGUUUGUGAGUAGAAUGGGUCAUCUCAUUUUCUUGUUCUUGAGGGUCUUGUCUCUAAGCCUCCAUGGCUACUCUUAAUUCCUCGAUGAUAUUUUUGUUCCUUUCAUUACUGAAGUAUAUCUAUCUUUGUUUUUUAACUACUCUUAAAGAAACUUCUAUUGCUCUUGGUAAAUUCUCUAAUUGGAAAAUAGUUAUUCUUCGAGUGCUUUCAUCUUGUUUGGCAUUUUUGUGAACUGUUGAAACCUCAAUUAAGGAUUCUUAAAGUUCAAAUCGAGUGAGGGGGCACUAGUUAUAAUAACACGGUGGUGGGCACUGGUAGUAUUGUUGAUAAGGGUUGAACUGUGUGUGUUGACAUUCUUGGGUGGUUUGUGUGGAGCUUGUAUGGGGCUAGCCACGAUCAAUGUCUCUCGGAGAUUUCUGGUGGUUGACACGAGGGCUACGUUCAGUGGUUGGAAGAACAAUGAUAUCUGGAUUUGUCAUUAUGAGUCCACACUCAUUGCACCAAAAUUUCAACCUACGAAAUCAACAAGGAGUAAACAAGGAUGAUGGUGGAAGUUCACCCUGGGAGGGUAGAGAGCUUUCGUGUCAGGAGGAUAAAAGAGAGGCUAGAAGAAAGAGAGAAAGAGUUUUCUGUUCUCUUGUCCUUAGUGAAAUUGG
rnacentral:lncRNA from 1 species